CCUACCGCUUCCUUCGUUUCUUCUUCACACCAUCGAAUGCUUCGGUGAUCUCUGCUCUCGAUUCUUGAAGGGCUCGGUGGGCACCAUCGGCGGGUAGCACGACCGGGUCGGUCAUGGACGAGGUCGCCUGUUCCACCGGGUCCAUCAAGGUCACCUGCUCUUAUUUGUCUUCCCCUCUCGUAACCUCUGCAGUCCUGUGCUGCAACCCUAAGGAGGAGGGGUUUACCCGAUGGCGGUGUGGCUGUCGAGGGUUGCACCUCUUUGGGAACUUUUGACAAACGAUCGUCAUGCGUUUAGAGUCGUAGGUCGAGGCUAAACGGGUUUGACGAGUCGGUUUCCGACGGGUUUUCUCGUUUUCUCCCGAGGAUGAUAAGAACGUCGUAUUCGCUGCAGCCAACAGGUUGCUACCGACGUUGGUCCAUCUUCUGGACUCCGCCGUCGGUGCCUUCUCCUACCACGAGACGAGGGAGAAGGCCGCAGCGGCGAUCAGGAGGAUCUCGCCCAUGCAGAGCUGUCGCCACCUCCUGCUGGCGGAGGGCCCGCCCCUCCUCAACCACCCUUCCCGCGUCUGGAGUCUGAGGGAGGCGCCACAAAGGAAAAGGCCUUCGUGGCCCUCCAAACCCUAAUGCUAACAAAGGAAAACGGGUCAUCAUCGGAUCCCACGGUGGGAUCACAGCCUUUCGUGAGAUCUGUCGUGCAAGAAAGCCCUUCGCCUCGGCCACCGCCGCCGUAGCGAUCAAGAAAAUUGAGAAGCAACGAGGUGGGUGUGUGCACUCGGUCGUGAGAAUGAUACUGUGCUUCCUUGGUGGAAUGGUGCGAAAAUUGGCUCAAAUGCAGGUGCCAUUUUUAAAGGUACAAGAUUGGUGUUGAUCUUGAUCAGGCGAAAUUUUGGAGUCAUGGAUGUCAUAUUAUCUGCUUAACUUAGUUUCUUGUCUUAGCUAGCACCUUAAACUUUGUAAUCAUGCUUUAUUGUCCUUCAUUUUGCAUCCAUUGCCCAUUAAAAUUCUAACUUUUCAAUCUUGAUGAUUAAAUACCAAUAUAUUAUUUGUUCUCUUUUUGAAGAAUAAUUUGCUUUUCACUUAGCAAUUCUGUUAAUGUCCAUUUACAUGGAACUUCCACCAUGCAUUAAGAGAAAUACUUGCUCAUCCUUAUUCUAGAUUACUGUCCCCCCGAACAAUAAUGUGCAUGACUCUUAUCUUUUGUUUUAAAGCUCAUGUUGUUCAAAAUUAAUAAUGUCAAGCUUGAAGCUUUUUGGUAGUGUCUUCAUAUACCUCCAACUUUGCUUCUUUUUUCUCCUUUCCUUAUAGUUUGAUUUGGUGGGAUUGCUAUGGCAUGAAGGUGACAUUAUGUUUCUUUCUUGGAGAUGAAUGUGCAAGCUUCUGAACUCUUGCAUCAGUAUUGUCUCUCGUCAUGGCCAAUAAAAGACUCGGUGUAGAGCACCAUCGUCGGAAGAAACGACCCAACUUGGGUUGUGUGUGUGGGGCACUAGAAUCUCUCUGGUCAUGGUCCUGACGCUGUUCAUCCACAUAUCCGCGGCGUCUGAUGUGUUGCUUCUGCACGGAGGGAGGCGAAGCGGUCAGUCGUGUGAAGACAACAUGGCCUACUAAUUUCCAGCGGUCGAACGUAAGGCACAUGAGACCUGAUCUCCAUCUCUGAUUCCGAAAGUGCGAAGAGACGCUCCAUCAUCAAUCAAUUUAUGCUCCUUGUAGCAUAAGCAGAACUGACCCCACACAUGAGACCUGCCAUCACUACCGCAAACGUUAUGGACUCCAAAUACAUCAGUUGGUUGUGUUUCUCUCUCUCUCAAUCUUUCGACAGUUCAACCGGUGAGAGACGAAUCGAACUGUACCAAGAAAUGCUGCAACCUCCGUCGUCGGGGGACUCGCUGAAGAUGUCCUCGAUUUCCAUCUUCAGCUCCGCCACGGAAGCUGUCCUUGCGACUUCCACCUCUGCCAACAUCGCAGUCUUGAGGUUUGGCAACGACAGAUCCAGAAGAACAUGCACUUUCUGGAAAGGUCAAAGAAAGUAGCGGAAGGUACCGUAGGAAGAGCCAUCCAAUUUGAGGACGGAGAGGCGGAGAAGCUGCUCGGGGAGGCGGCAAUAGGCGAUGCUUCUGCGCCCGCCAGCGGAGGCGCCGAUGCCGACGACGUCGUCGUCAUCGACGUGUGGGGAUGGCGAAGGAUGCGCAGGCGACCGCGGCAGCUUCCCCCACCCAGGGCACCUCGCCAUCGCUGUACCGGUGAAUGUAUCUCCCCUCUCUGGCGACGGGAGAGAAGAAGAAAAGAAGAAGAAGAAGAAGAACCGAUCGGUGCCUAGGAUGGAAGGGCACGCGAUCCCUUGUCGUCUUCUUUGCCCCUUUGCCUUUUUGUUGCCGACUCCCGUGGUGUAACAGAAACAAGAUUCCUGCAGGGAAACGAGGCGGGGAAGCUAGCCUCCGUUGCGGUGCGCUUGAUCCACGCCGCAGAUCGGUGGUAGCACGGAUCAUUACGAUGACUCCCCUUGCGGUGGACGGUCCUCAUGGCUCCAGUUUCCGUCCGUCCGCCCGUCCUCUGUUUCCGUCAUUGGCAGGUGAUGAACUACGGAUGGGAUCAGCGGAUGCGGUUGGAUUCGAACCUGAACCUAAACAAUAACUGGUGAAGCCUGAAGGGGCCGUUCAAGCGGGCAGCUGCUUGGCCGACGGUUGCGGGGACAGCUCGACGCCGUCGCCGAACCGGCGUAAAUGGCAUAUAUAAUGGGAUCUCAAUCUUCAUCGACGGAUUCAAUUUCUUUCCGCUCCGGUCAAGUGCUUUGUUUCUUUCUGGUUUUUGAUCCCCUAGUAGCAUUAGAUCGAUCGGACGGAUUUCAAUUUGCAGUCACAUACAAUUUGAAUUUAUAUUUCAAACUAGUUGCCUGUCUCUUCUCUUGACAUGUUUUUUCGUAUAGAAAAAAUAUUGCUUUGAGAGAUAAUGGAUAGGACUUAUUUCUACUA